rnacentral:lncRNA from 1 species
GAAUUCUGUGUGCGUGCUGCCUCUCUGCAGGUUAUAGUGUGGUUUUGUUGGGUCUUGGGUGUUUUAAACCUGGAAUAAUUGUCAGAUGGGCGAUCUCUCUUGAUAAGAGAUACCUCUGGGUGAUUCACUUGGCUUCUGCUUCUCAAGGAACUCUAAAGGGAAUAAAAUAACCCUAAAGUAUGGAUUAUCUCUGCUGUUGGAGUUUUGAAAUCUCAGGACCCAAGAUGGAACAUGGGGCAAAAACUGAUGCUGUGCUCCAGAAAUCUGAACUUAAGUCCAAGUGCCAGCAUGGACUUUUACCUCUAUGGGACUUAAUGACAACUUGUCUAGAACUUGUGGCAACAACUAGCAACUAUCCUUAA